rnacentral:lncRNA from 1 species
CCUACGCUUCGCUGCUCAGUGCAACCUCUCAACCUAGCCAUCUUGCCUACGUUUCGCUGCUCUUCGACGGGGUAGAAGCACCUGUUGGCGUGACUUGUGGAUAUUGACUUACUUUCCUUACACACUAAGAAUUCCUAUUAUAAUUGUAAUUGAUUUACUUUAAUUCCUGAUUUCCUACUGCAAAUAGAUUUAGGAAUUUAUUAUUUACUUGCCCAUUCAGGUUUCGUUGUAUUAUAAAUAUGACCUCAUACAAGGAGAAGAAUACACAGAAAAUUCCCACAAACAAAUAUUCUCUCAUAGUUUUCAUAUUUUAGCAUGGUAUCAGAGCGGCGAUCUUGGAAUUGCUGACUCUAGUUUCAAACCCCCGCCGCUGCUAUGGGGGUUGAUGAUUUUUUCAACCCUCAUGGAGGUAGCACCACCGACUCCUUCUCUCAUUCUCCACCAACCAUCAUUGAGUUGAGUGCCCAGAUGGCUCCGCUCCUACAGAUGCAGACUUUGACCCUUAACCCGAUCCAGAAUCCGGAUCCUUUUUUGACGACCCCGACCCCGACCCCGACUAUGACGACGACGACCCCGACCCCGACCCCGACUCCGAAGACGACCCCGACCCCCACUCCGAUGAUGACCCCAAACCCCAAUUUGUCUGUGAUUCAGACCCUGAUCCCAAUUUCGACUCCGACUCCGGCCCCGACUCAGGCUCAGAUUCCGAUCCCAAUUCCUACUCAACCUGUAUCCUAUGCAUCUUCCGCUGCACAAAUUAUGACUUCUAGACUAACGACCCCGACACGUGGACUAGAUUGUGCAUAUUGUGGUGAUCCACGACACACUUGUGAGACUUGUUUUAAAUCGCAUGGCUACCCCAAUUGGUGGGCUACUCUUAUAGAUCGAGGACAAUGCAAUAUGACCAGUAAUGGUACUGGUUAUGGAUUCCAUACUUCCGAUAAGAUUAAUUCCAGGAGCUGGAUAAUUGAUUCCGGUGCAACUGAUCAUAUGACGUUUGAUCCUGAUGAUUUUCUGAAUACUACACAACCUCGACGAACCUGUAUUGCAAAUGCCAAUAGUGUUACUUAUCCUGUGACAGGGGCUGGCACUGUUGCACUCUCAUCCUCUCUCACACUGUCUAAUACUUUACUUGUUCCAUCUUUAUCCACUAAAUUAUUGUCAGUUAGUCAGCUUACUGAACAAUUGAAUUGUUGUGUACUCAUUUACCCGAAUUUUUUGUUUGCUUCAGGAUAUUCACACUAAGGAGAUUCUUGGUCGUGGUACUAAGAGAGGGGGGCUAUAUUAUGUCGAUGACUUCAGUCCCGGCAUGGCUAACAGCGUGACACAUCCCUUUGAUAGCAAACAAAAGCAAAUUUGGUUGUGGCAUCGUCGAUUGGGACAUCCGUCUUUUAGUUAUAUGAAGCAUCUUAUACCAGAUUUAUUCUCAGGUUUCAAAGACUCCGACUUCACAUGUGAUACUUGUAUUUUGGCCAAGAGUCACCAUGUGCCCUACCCGUUGAGUACGAACAAGUGUACUACUCCAUUUACGUUAAUUCACUCUGAUGUCUGGGGACCUUCUCCUAUCACUGCUCCUUCUGGUGUUCGAUGGUUUGUCACAUUCAUCGAUGAUUGUACACGGAUGACAUGGCUUUAUUUGCUGAAGAAUAAAAACGAAGUGUUUUCCUGUUUUCAGUCCUUCCACAAACAGAUGAAAACUCAGUUUAAUGCUCAAAUCCAGAUUCUUCGCUCCGACAAUGGUGGAGAAUUUGUCAAUCAUGACUUUCAGACUUACUUCCAACAACAUGGAAUUAUCCAUGAGACGACUUGUCCUCAGACACCACAACAAAAUGGUGUUGCUGAACGAAAGAAUCGACAUCUUCUUGAAACCGCCCGAGCACUUCUGAUUGGCGCUCAUGUUCCUCGCCAUCACUGGGAUGAUGCUAUUGUCACCGCAGUUCAUCUGAUCAACCGCAUGCCUUCUAGUGUACUGACCUUUAAAACUCCCUUACAGGUGCUUCCACAACACAGACCUCUGCCUUCUGUUUUGGUACUCACACCCCGAAUCUUUGGAUGUGUGGCUUUCGUUCAUCUCCACAAAAAUCAACGUAGCAAACUUGAUCCAUGUGCGCUUCGUUGUGUUUUUGUGGGUUAUGCCACUCAUCAGAAAGGCUACCGUUGUUAUCACCCUCCUACCCAACGAACCUAUGUCACUUUGGAUGUGACCUUUCUGGAAUCUGAGCUGUUCUUCCAUGACCCAUCAUCCAAUUCUACACUUCAGGGGGAGAUACGAAGUGAAGAGCAGAAUUGGAGCAACUUGGAAAAUCAAGAAAUUCUCCUUUGUACAGAAAUGAUUGAUCAUUCCGAGUCUGGAGCACGAGAUUACUCUCUGUCGAAAAGCGACCAAUCGCCCAUUUAUAGCGAUCAAUUGCCUGACCCACCUGAUCCACGCGAAGAUAUUUCCGAUCCGAGUCUCACACUUACAGACAAUACAGAACAACAAGAUGAAGACCCCCCCUCUAACUCAACCGUACCAACAGACCAAUCUCUUGAGAAUAUCCUUGAGGUAACUACUCCUACUAGACUUGUGCAUUUAGAUGAUAAAACUAUUGGAUAUCAAUUACCUUUCAGGCAAAAUCGUGGGAAGCCACCAAACCGUUAUUCACCUGAUAUUGGCAAGACAUCCAAGUAUCCAAUUGCAAAUCAUGUAUCCACUGAGAAGCUGUCUGAACCACUUAAGGCUUUUGUGCAUCAGUUGUCUGCUAUCCAUAUUCCAACCAAGGUCUCUGAAGCAUUGAAAGAUCCUAAGUGGGUCCAAGCUAUAAAAGAGGAGAUGAAAGCCCUUGAGAAAAAUCAAACUUGGACAUUGGAGAUUAUACCCCGAGAAAAAAAGACUAUCGGAUGUAGAUGGGUGUUUACUAUAAAACACAAUGCAGAUGGAUCUAUCGAGCGAUACAAGGCAAGACUUGUGGCAAAAGGGUACACACAGACCUAUGGUAUAGACUAUGAAGAAACCUUUGCUCCCGUUGCAAAGUUAAACACCGUCAGAGUCUUAUUGUCCCUUGCAGCUAAUUUAGAUUGGCCACUACACCAGUUUGAUGUAAAGAAUGCUUUUCUACAUGGCGAACUCACGGAGGAGGUGUACAUGGACAUUCCUCCUGGAUAUAAUACUACUCAGACUGGAACAGUUUGCAGGUUACGAAAAGCAUUGUAUGGAUUGAAACAGUCACCACGUGCAUGGUUUGGACGGUUCACCAUGGCAAUGAAAAAUAAUGGUUUCAAACAGUGCAACUCAGAUCAUACUUUGUUCUUGAAACAUCGAAAAGGGAAGGUAACAGCAUUAAUAAUUUAUGUUGAUGAUAUGAUUAUUACUGGGAAUGAUAAACAGGAAAUAUCACAGCUACAAGACUAUCUGGCUACGGAGUUUGAGAUGAAGGAUCUAGGUGGACUCAAGUAUUUCUUGGGAAUUGAGGUGGCUCGAUCGCAGCAAGGUAUAUUUCUCUCUCAAAGGAAAUAUGUCUUAGACUUGUUGACAGACACAGGAAUGCUAGAUUGUAAACCUGCGGACACUCCUAUUAUUCAGAAUCAUCAUCUUGGAGAAUAUCCGGAUCAAGUUCCAACUAACAAAGAAAGAUACCAAAGGUUAGUGGGAAGAUUGAUCUAUUUGUCACAUACUCGACCAGACAUUGCUUAUGCGGUGAACGUUGUCAGUCAAUUUAUGCACUCUCCAAGUGAAGACCAUAUGAAUGCAGUUCUUCGGAUACUUAGAUAUUUGAAGUCUGCACCUGGAAAAGGACUUAUGUUCUCAAAGCAUGGUCAUCUAAAUAUUGAUGGUUAUUCAGAUGCAGAUUGGGCAGGUAAUAUAACAGAUAGAAAAUCCACAUCGGGUUACUUCACAUUCGUGGGAGGUAAUUUGGUGACAUGGAGAAGCAAGAAACAGAAUGUAGUAGCUUUAUCCAGUGCAGAAGCCGAGUUCAGAGGCAUGACUAAAGGGAUUUGUGAACUUCUUUGGUUAAGAAAGUUGCUUACUGAACUUGGGUAUAAACCUACAUCCACAAUGAAUCUCUUUUGUGAUAACAAGGCUGCUAUAGCCAUUGCACAGAAUCCGGUUCAGCAUGAUCGUACUAAACAUGUUGAGGUGGAUCGACACUUCAUCAAACAAAAGCUUGAGGCUAAACUGUUUCAGUUUCCUUUUGUGAAAUCCGAGGAUCAAUUGGCGGAUAUUUUGACAAAGGCGAUUUCCAGUAAAGCAUUCCACAAUUCACUAGAUCAGUUGGGCAUUGGCGACAUCUAUGCACCAACGUGAGGGGAAGUGUUGGCGUGACUUGUGGAUAUUGACUUACUUUCUUUACACACUAAGAAUUCCUAUUAUAAUUGUAAUUGAUUUACUUUAAUUCCUGAUUUCCUACUGCAAAUAGAUUUAGGAAUUUAUUAUUUACUUGCCCAUUCAGGUUUCGUUGUAUUAUAAAUAUGACCUCCUACAAGGAGAAGAAUACACAGAAAAUUCCCACAAACAAAUAUUCUCUCAUAAUUUUCAUAUUUUAGCAGCACCCACCACUCAUUUAUGGAAUUCCAUAAUCAGAUCAUUCUCUACGAGUUCAGAACCUCGCAGGUCCCUCAUUUUCUAUUCAAAAAUGCGCACAAAUGGUAUUGCUCCCGACAAGCACACCUUCCCUUUGCUUCUCA